rnacentral:rRNA from 1 species
CGAGACCUUCGGGUCUAGUGGCGCACGGGUGCGUAACGCGUGGGAACCUGCCCUUAGGUUCGGAAUAACAGUUAGAAAUGACUGCUAAUACCGGAUAAUGUCUUCGGACCAAAGAUUUAUCGCCUUUGGAUGGNCCCGCGUUGNAUUANAUAGUUGGUGGGGUAAUGGCCUACCAAGUCGACGAUCCAUAGCUGGUCUGAGAGGAUGAUCAGCCACNCNGGGACUGAGACACGGCCCANACUCCUACGGGAGGCAGCAGUGGGGAAUAUUGGACAAUGGGCGAAAGCCUGAUCCAGCAAUGCCGCGUGAGUGAUGAAGGCCUUAGGGUUGUAAAGCUCUUUUACCAGGGAUGAUAAUGACAGUACCUGGAGAAUAAGCUCCGGCUAACUCCGUGCCAGCAGCCGCGGUAAUACGGAGGGAGCUAGCGUUGUUCGGAAUUACUGGGCGUAAAGCGCACGUAGGCGGCUUUUCAAGUCAGGGGUGAAAUCCCGGGGCUCAACCCCGGAACUGCCCUUGAAANUGGAUGGCUAGAAUACUGGAGAGGNGAGUGGAAUUCCGAGUGUAGAGGUGAAAUUCGUAGAUAUUCGGAAGAACACCAGUGGCGAAGGCGACUCNCUGGACAGUUAUUGACNCUGANGUGCGAA